rnacentral:rRNA from 1 species
CCUACGGGAGGCUGCAGUGAGGAAUAUUGGUCAAUGGACGAGAGUCUGAACCAGCCAAGUAGCGUGAAGGAUGAAUGCCCUAUGGGUUGUAAACUUCUUUUAUAUGGGAAUAAAAUGUUCCACGUGUGGGAUUUUGUAUGUACCAUAUGAAUAAGGAUCGGCUAACUCCGUGCCAGCAGCCGCGGUAAUACGGAGGAUCCGAGCGUUAUCCGGAUUUAUUGGGUUUAAAGGGAGCGUAGGUGGAUUGUUAAGUCAGUUGUGAAAGUUUGUGGCUCAACCGGAAAAUGGCAGUUGAAACUGGCAGUCUGGAGUAGAGGAGAGGUGGGCGGAAGUCGUGGUGUAGCGGUGAAAUGCUUAGAUAUCACGAAGAACUCCGAUUGCGAAGGCAGCUCACUGGACUGCAACUGACACUGAGGCUCGAAAGUGUGGGUAUCAAACAGGAUUAGAUACCCCAGUAGUC